CCAGGGGAGCGGAGGCUCGCUGCGGGCGCAAGCCCGCGGAGGAAAGUCCGAACUCCUCAGGGCGCGAUGCCGCGUAACUCCGCCAGUGGUGGAGAUACACGCGGGAGGCAACACCGCGAGGUGUCCCGACGGACAGUGCCACAGAAAACAAACCGCCAGAGUGCGACGACGACCGCAAGGCCGCGCGGCGCGCGACGGCAAGGGUGAAAAGGUGGGGUAAGAGCCCACCGCUCCAAGCGCAAGCGCGGAGGCACGGAAAACCCCAUCGGGAGCAAGGUCAAAUAGGGGAUCGAAGGCGCGGCCCGCGCCGCGUCUCGUCUCGACGAGACAGGUCCCGGGUAAGACCGCUCAGAUAAAUGAGCCUCUCCGCCAGCCCUCGGGCCGGCGCAGACAGAAUUCGGCUUACAGCUCCCCUGGAACC
rnacentral:RNase_P_RNA from 1 species